CAGUAGCCGCGGGAAUACGUAGGGUGCGAGCGUUAAUCGGAAUUACUGGGCGUAAAGCGUGCGCAGGCGGUUCGCCAAGUCAGGUGUGAAAUCCCCGGGCUUAACCUGGGAAUUGCGCUUGAAACUAGCGGGCUUGAGUGCGGCAGAGGGGGGUGGAAUUCCACGUGUAGCAGUGAAAUGCGUAGAGAUGUGGAGGAACACCGAUGGCGAAGGCAGCCCCCUGGGUCGACACUGACGCUUAUGCACGAAAGCGUGGGGAGCAAACAGGAUUAGAUACCCCUGUAGUCCCUGUCUCUUAUAC
rnacentral:rRNA from 1 species